CUAAUAUACAGAUUUAGAUACUGUAUGGAGUCUAAUAUACAGAUUUAGAUACUGUAUGGGGUCUAAUAUACAGAUUUAGAUACUGUAUGGGGUCUAAUAUACAGAUUUAGAUACUGUAUGGGGUCUAACAUAUCAUGCAAAACGCAAUAUACCGCCAGUAUUUCUGUUUAAAAAAAAAGGUUAUACAUCUUGAAAAGGUGAUUGUUUUUCAUGUCAGCACAUUGCCCUAUAUCAACAACAACACAUUGCCCUAUAUCAACAACAACACAUUGCCCUAUAUCAACAACAACACAUUGCCCUAUAUCAACAACAACACAUUGCCCUAUAUCAACAACAACACAUUGCCCUAUAUCAACAACAACACAUUGCCCUAUAUCAACAACAACACAUUGCCCUAUAUCAACAACAACACAUUGCCCUAUAUCAACAACAACACAUUGCCCUAUAUCAACAACAACACAUUGCCCUAUAUCAACAACAACACAUUGCCCUAUAUCAACAACAACACAUUGCCCUAUAUCAACAACAACACAUUGCCCUAUAUCAACAACAACACAUUGCCCUAUAUCAACAACACAUUGCCCUAUAUCAACAACAACACAACACAUUGACCCUAUAUCAACAACACAACACAUUGACCCUAUAUCAACAACAACACAACACAUUGUCCCUAUAUCAACAACACAACACAUUGCCCUAUAUCAACAACACAACACAUUGCCCUAUAUCAACAACAACACAUUGCCCUAUAUCAACAACAACACAUUGCCCUAUAUCAACAACAACACAACACAUUGCCCUAUAUCAACAACACAACACAUAGACCCUAUAACAACACGUGUGUGUGUGUGUGUGUGUGUGUGUACGGUGUGUGUGUGUACGGUGUGUACGGUGUGUGUGUGUACGGUGUGUACGGUGUGUGUGUGUACGGUGUGUACGGUGUGUGUGUACGGUGUGUGUGUGUGUGUGUGUAUACGGUGUGUGUGUGUACGGUGUGUGUACGGUGUGUGU
rnacentral:lncRNA from 1 species